AGCGCCGGCUUUGGGCAGAGGCAGCCAGGGCGCCGGAAGAGGCCUGGAAAUCCACGCGGCUUCCCAAAGACGGCGCCUCUGUUCUGCGGGUUCGUGACGAGGAUUUAUUUCCACCCACUGCGCCUGGGCGCAGGUCUGCGGGUCCGCGCCCACUGCGUGCGGCGCCACGGACCAUGUCGGGGUCUCACUCUGUCACCCAGGCUGGAGUAGAGUGGUACAAUCACAGCUCACUGCAGCCUCAAACUCCCAGGCUCAAGUAUCCUCCUACCUCAGCCUCCCAAGUAGCUGUAACUACAGUGACUGAUCAGGCUUUUGUCACACUGGCCACAGAUGACAUCUACUGCCAGGGCGCCCUGGUCCUGGGGCAGUCACUGAGGAGACACAGGCUGACGAGGAAGCUGGUGGUGUUGAUCACUCCUCAGGUGUCCAGCCUGCUCAGGGUCUCACUCGUCGCCCAGGCUUGAGUGCAGUGAUACCAUCUCGGCUCACUGCAACCUCUCCCUCACUGGCCCAAGUGAUCUUCCCUCCUCAGCCUUCUAAGCAGCUGGGACCACAAGUAUGUGCCCGCAUGCUUGGCUAUUUUUAUUUUUAUUUUUUGUAUUUUUGGUAGAGACAGGGUUUCGUCACAUUGCCUAGGCUGAUCUUGAACUCCUGGACUCACUCAGUCCACCCAGGUUGGCCUCCCAAAGUGCUGGGAUUACAGGCAUGAGCCACGGCGCCCUGCCAAGGAGUCUUUUUAAAAAUAAUUUCCUUUUACAAUUCCCUUUGUCUUUAAUUCUCAAAUAAAGCAAAUACAUAAAUAAAUGCAUCUAAUGAAUAAAGCA
rnacentral:lncRNA from 1 species